UGUCCAGGGAUGGGAAACGAACCCACAGUGUUCCGCUUACCGGGCAGAUGCCAUGUCCACUAGGCUUGCCAUCCCUGGAC